rnacentral:rRNA from 1 species
GCAAGUCGAACGAACUCUGGUAUUGAUUGGUGCUUGCAUCAUGAUUUACAUUUGAGUGAGUGGCGAACUGGUGAGUAACACGUGGGAAACCUGCCCAGAAGCGGGGGAUAACACCUGGAAACAGAUGCUAAUACCGCAUAACAACUUGGACCGCAUGGUCCGAGCUUGAAAGAUGGCUUCGGCUAUCACUUUUGGAUGGUCCCGCGGCGUAUUAGCUAGAUGGUGGGGUAACGGCUCACCAUGGCAAUGAUACGUAGCCGACCUGAGAGGGUAAUCGGCCACAUUGGGACUGAGACACGGCCCAAACUCCUACGGGAGGCAGCAGUAGGGAAUCUUCCACAAUGGACGAAAGUCUGAUGGAGCAACGCCGCGUGAGUGAAGAAGGGUUUCGGCUCGUAAAACUCUGUUGUUAAAGAAGAACAUAUCUGAGAGUAACUGUUCAGGUAUUGACGGUAUUUAACCAGAAAGCCACGGCUAACUACGUGCCAGCAGCCGCGGUAAUACGUAGGUGGCAAGCGUUGUCCGGAUUUAUUGGGCGUAAAGCGAGCGCAGGCGGUUUUUUAAGUCUGAUGUGAAAGCCUUCGGCUCAACCGAAGAAGUGCAUCGGAAACUGGGAAACUUGAGUGCAGAAGAGGACAGUGGAACUCCAUGUGUAGCGGUGAAAUGCGUAGAUAUAUGGAAGAACACCAGUGGCGAAGGCGGCUGUCUGGUCUGUAACUGACGCUGAGGCUCGAAAGUAUGGGUAGCAAACAGGAUUAGAUACCCUGGUAGUCCAUACCGUAAACGAUGAAUGCUAAGUGUUGGAGGGUUUCCGCCCUUCAGUGCUGCAGCUAACGCAUUAAGCAUUCCGCCUGGGGAGUACGGCCGCAAGGCUGAAACUCAAAGGAAUUGACGGGGGCCCGCACAAGCGGUGGAGCAUGUGGUUUAAUUCGAAGCUACGCGAAGAACCUUACCAGGUCUUGACAUACUAUGCAAAUCUAAGAGAUUAGACGUUCCCUUCGGGGACAUGGAUACAGGUGGUGCAUGGUUGUCGUCAGCUCGUGUCGUGAGAUGUUGGGUUAAGUCCCGCAACGAGCGCAACCCUUAUUAUCAGUUGCCAGCAUUAAGUUGGGCACUCUGGUGAGACUGCCGGUGACAAACCGGAGGAAGGUGGGGAUGACGUCAAAUCAUCAUGCCCCUUAUGACCUGGGCUACACACGUGCUACAAUGGAUGGUACAACGAGUUGCGAACUCGCGAGAGUAAGCUAAUCUCUUAAAGCCAUUCUCAGUUCGGAUUGUAGGCUGCAACUCGCCUACAUGAAGUCGGAAUCGCUAGUAAUCGCGGAUCAGCAUGCCGCGGUGAAUACGUUCCCGGGCCUUGUACACACCGCCCGUCACACCAUGAGAGUUUGUAACACCCAAAGUCGGUGGGGUAACCUUUU